AACGAACGCUGGCGGCGUGCCUAAGACACGCAAGUCGUGCGGAAAGGCUCCUUCGGGAGUACUCGAGCGGCGCACGGGUGAGUAACACGUGGGUAAUCUACCUGAGGGUCUGGGAUAACUCCGGGAAACUGGGGCUAAUACCGGAUGAGACCACGGCGUCCUCGGACGCAGCGGUCAAAGAUGGCCUCUCCUUGGAAGCUAUCGCCUACAGAUGAGCCCGCGUCCCAUUAGCUAG
rnacentral:rRNA from 1 species